UUAAUCGCUUCUGCAUUACGCGAAUGUUGUCGUUUUUUUAAACGGCAGCGUAUGAUUUUAAAUGAGUUGUUACUGGAACACAGUGGGUUGCUCGAUUAGCACAGCUGGUAGCUAAUGCUGUAUAUAAACCUCUUGCAAUUGGUAAAAAAAAUAAUAAAACAAAACAGCCUUUAAUCAUACUGUGACUUGGGUCUUUAGAUUUUAGACAUGGCUGUUGACAGCACCGACUGAUAUAGUUUUUUAGCUAUCGUUUUUCGGUAAAGUGGUUGGAACCUCAAGGGGUUAUAAUGUAGUCUAAUCACGGCACGUGGACUCCUAACCCAGAUUAAUUAAAAUUUUGUGCACGACAUUGUGUUUUACUAAAAUAAAUCGCGCCUGCAGAAAAAAACUAAUGUUAUAUGGAAUUUACGGGCCGCUGUGGUGUCCCAGUAAUCGGUGUAUCGAUGGGUGCUGACACCAGAUCGGUAUUUGGGAUCAUACGGCCAACUACAUUCACUAUAUAAGCCGAUCUGAGAUCUGUUGCUAACACAGGCACGUUGGUAUAAUGCAGGCAGGCAGUACUAGUUGCAUGCAGAUGCACGAUGCAGUAGGCCUACAGUUGGAUUCCCGGGAUAUUUUGUUUCUAAUGUCAUCAUAAAUACACACGUAUUUGUUAAUUAAGCACAAUUUAUUCUAAAGUCUUUGUCUUCACCAGAUAAACAAGCUUUAUAUUUUGCAGUAACCAAUAAAAAAAAACAUACAUCUAAAAUUGAUGAUGAUAGCUAAUCGAUUUCAGUGGUUCCCAAUACCAGUCGCUGGCCUCUCUCCCAGAACAUUUUAGAUGUCUCCAUAUAUAAAAACACUUGAUUCAGUUCAUCAGCUUGUUAAUGUGUUAAUUAAGGAGCCUGAUGAGUGAAAUCAAGUGUUUUAUUUAAGGAGACAUCUAAAACAUUCUGGGAGGGUAGGACUGAGGACUGUAAUUGAGAUGAGAACCACUGGAUCAGGUGACGUAAUCUUAGCCUUAAUACAUAAAUAAAUAUAAUUAUUGUUACAACAAAAGGUUGUUAUGAAAAUAUCAAUUCUCCUAUCACCUUUAUUGCAAAUAGUCAGACGUCACUAUAUUCUACCAGAAAAUAGAAAAAUGUUGUCACCCUUUACCCUCAUAUCUUUAAUGUUGUCCAGUCUUUCCAUUCAAUUUUAUUAGUCAGAAAGUUUGAGUUGAAGGCAGAUCUCAGAUCUAACUGAAACAUUUAUUUUUGUGUUUUAGUACAAUGGCAAGUGUUAACAAAAACGAACUCGAAGCUGUUCUUAUGCUUGGGGAUGUAUUUGUUGAAGAGAUACAGAAAUGUAACCGCGAGUCACAUACUCCGAAGCCUGAAGUCACAAGACCUAAAGUGACCUGGUGGAAGAGGGACUGUCAUGGACAACGCGUGACCACCAACAAACGGAGGAAAAAAGAGUCAUCUACUGUUAGUACGUCUCCAUGUGCAAGUUCCUCCAUCACAGCCUCAUGUACUAGCAGCUACCAAUAUUCUGAUUUUAACAUGCAGAGGCUUGAGGACAUUCUGCAGGACUCUGAGAGCAUUGAUGUUGAAAAUCUUGCUCCACAGCCACCAAUGUCCAGUUGGUCUGAAAGGCAGAAAGGGGUCCAACAAUGUUGGCAACAGGCGAGGCCACAAAACCUUGCCAACUUGUUGACAGCUGAGAACAUCGUCCAAAUGACAUGUAAUCACUGUCACAAGAAAGAAGCCAUCAUUCGUUGUGGGGAGUGUUUACCAUCUGAGUGGUUUUGUGCAGAGUGUGAUCAACUGGUACAUAAACGCCACACUCUGCACAGUAGGCAAACCACAAUGUAUGGUUUUUUUAAGUACAUCCCUCCAACAGAGUUUGUGAAACUCCAUGAUGAGAAAUACAUCAUCUGUGAACAAGAUUGUUUGCUGCCAACAUCCUUUCCUCCAAGGAUAUGCUCCUGUGACACUGGUGAUGUUGCAAUCUCUGCUGGUAGAUCCAUCAUACUGGUUUGCAUAAAUGGCCGUUACAAUCUUAAGAUCCCGGAGCUUACAUGCAAACAUUGCAAUAAGCAAUGGGCCCCAGCAGUCAGUGACUUAGUAAGGAGUGGUUACUGGCCCGCUACCAUGCAAGCACAGACACUGUUCCACCGAGAUCUGUUCCAUUCCUUUGAGGCUAUGAAGACAGCAGCUCCAGGAAUGUCAGUAAAAGCCUUCACAGCAAUGUUGGACCAGAGAACGAGGCAAUUUGGAAGAACUGGCAAAGUGAAUGUAGAUGCUUUUCAGAGGAGCUUUCUGCAAUACGUGUACUGAAACUCUGAAAAGAACCAACUUCUGGGAAAGGAGCCAUUUGUCUGUCCAGCCUGUAGCCCUGACAUGGUGGCUGUUUCAGUUGAUGGUAACCGAAAACUCUACAGGUUCCAGAAAACAAACCAGAGUGAAGAGCCAGGAUUCUUUGAUGGAGUGUUUUUAGCCCAGGACUCUGAGGUGUCCAAUUUUGUUGAGGAAGUCCGGGGGGCUGUCAAAAAUAUUGCAGGAAAAGCGAUGUGUGGGGAAUCCCACUGGAGAGCAGCAAGAGAGACAUCAAAGCAGGCCAACAAGUUGGAUGAAGAAGGAGUUGAAAUUGCUGUGUGCAGGCAUGGAUUCUUACUCAAAGAUUCUGUGGAAUGCGAGGAACCAGGAAGGUGCGGGAACCACUCUUGGUGAAGAAGUAGAGCAAGUUAAUAGUUUUCUUUCCAGAUGUGCUCUGACCACAAAAUAUAUGACCAAGUCAG